GUAUAUUGUCAAGAAAUGAAAGUCUAACUUCCUAACAUGUUUCACAUAUUGAAUAUCCCGCAAAGGAAGGAUACUGCUCGCUUGAAAUAUUAGUACUCAUACAGGAUGAUGCGAUAACAGAGCUAUUAAUUAGCGAGCAGGCAGGAAGUUGUCGGCCACUUGUGUGACACUUACUUGCUCGUGCUCGUGCUCGCGCUAAGAGAGUCUCCUUUUUAUCAUCUUGCAUCAUUUUGUAUAAUUUACGUCACCUAGCCUUCUUGUCA
rnacentral:lncRNA from 1 species